UUGGGCUUCAUGAAUGCUUGGAAGCUCUGCAGUUAAUGCUCUUGUAAUGUGGAGGAUGCGAUCUUUAAAGCUCUCACUUAAUGCACAUUCUCUUUUUUUUUUUUCACUUAUUCACUCUUUUUUUCUUGAUUCUUUGGGUGUUCCAAUGUAUUUAUAUCUUGAAAAAUCAUUGGAAGACUGUUUAUAACCAUCGGAGGACCAUUUACAGCCUUUAGAGGGGCUGAAAUAUCCAUUGAAAGUGAAUAGAGCCAUUUUGAUUUCACAGAAAAACUAAACGUUACUAUUGUCAGAUGCAGAGGGAUCGAUUCAUUUUCUUCAAAGGUCG
rnacentral:lncRNA from 1 species